CCUACGGGGGGCUGCAGUGAGGAAUAUUGGUCAAUGGGCGUAAGCCUGAACCAGCCAAGUCGCGUGAGGGAUGAAGGCUCUAUGGAUCGUAAACCUCUUUUAUAUGGGAAUAAAGUGCGGCACGUGUCACGUUUUGUAUGUACCUUAUGAAUAAGGAUCGGCUAACUCCGUGCCAGCAGCCGCGGUAAUACGGAGGAUCCGAGCGUUAUCCGGAUUUAUUGGGUUUAAAGGGUGCGUAGGCGGUCUUUUAAGUCAGCGGUGAAAGUCUGUGGCUCAACCAUAGAAUUGCAGUUGAAACUGGUAGGCUUGAGUACAGUAGAGGCAGGCGGAAUGCGUGGUGUAGCGGUGAAAUGCUUAGAUAUCACGCAGAACCCCGAUUGCGAAGGCAGCCUGCCAAGCCAUGACUGACGCUGAUGCACGAAAGCGUGGGGAUCAAACAGGAUUAGAUACCCCUGUAGUC
rnacentral:rRNA from 1 species